AUGAAAUUACAUUCCAGCUUUCUACAAACCCAAUGUAUUAAGUAGGUUUGAUCAAUGAUGUUCACACAAUUAAUUUUGUCUGAUUGCUGAGGAUUACUUUAUCGACAGCCACAUUUCACACUUGUGGGUUUUUUUUUUUUGUUUCCGCAGUAAAUUCCCGGCGAUGUCAGAUCGCGUGAUGGUGGAGCCGGUUCGAAGCCCCCGCUCUCAAAGCGACUUCCAGCAGACCAUGACGGGGAUCAAGAAUUGGCAACAGAGAACAGACACAGCAUUUGGUGUGGGUUCAGGUUGGCCUGGGCAUGUGCAAUACCUCCAGGACUCCAGGAUAAUUCACGCAGAGCUGGGGACAAGGGCGAGUGCCCAAACUCCUCUGCAGGCCCCAGGCCAUCCUGUGGGGGGGCUCUGGCUGGGACAAGGGCAAUGGGUUUUGAUGGUGAGGGUGCUGCUGGACCACGUGCUGACCCCAGUGAGCACCUGCCUGGCGCUGCAGUGAGGAAUUUUGGUGUGGGAGGACGAGGGGGACCUGCCCUGCUGGGGAACUUGCUCGAUCCGCGAACAUACGUGGAAUAAAUGUGCCAGAUUUUAAAAAUGGGUUUUGUUU
rnacentral:lncRNA from 1 species